CAGCCGCCGCGGUAAUACGUAGGGCGCGAGCGUUGUCCGGAAUUAUUGGGCGUAAAGAGCUUGCAGGCGGUUGGUCGCGUCUGCUGUGAAAGGCCGGGGCUUAACUCCGGUUUUGCAGUGGGUACGGGCUAACUAGAGUGCAGUAGGGGAGACUGGAAUUCCUGGUGUAGCGAUGGAAUGCACAGAUAUCAGGAGAAACACCGAUGGCGAAGGCAGGUCUCUGGGCUGUAACUGACGCUGAGAAGCGAAAGCAUGGGGAGCGAACAGGAUUAGAUACCCCCGUAGUCCCUGUCUCUUAUAU
rnacentral:rRNA from 1 species